CACGUAGGGGGCAAGCGUUGUCCGGAUUUAUUGGGCGUAAAGAGCUCGUAGGCUGUUCGGUAAGUCGGGUGUGAAACCCCCAGGCUCAACCUGGGGACGCCACCUGAUACUGCUGUGACUCGAGUCCGGUAGGGGAGCGUGGAAUUCCUGGGUGUAGCGGUGAAAUGCGCAGAUAUCAGGAGGAACACCAGCGGCGAAGGCGGCGCUCUGGGCCGGUACUGACGCUGAGGAGCGAAAGCGUGGGUAGCAAACAGG
rnacentral:rRNA from 1 species